AUGAGAAAUAGAUAACAAAUACAAUACAGUCACACUAAUCAAAUAACGUGAGCUCCAAGUACUUUUUCAGAUAUCCAGAAAGGGUUAUCAGUUGGGUCAUGUGGCUCUAUCUAGUCAUCUAAAAAAAACGAGGAUCGAUAUUGUGACUUGCCGAGUAGAUUUUCUUCAGAAUUUGGGGUUUUCUUGAUUUGUGAACAUAAUGUUGAAUAUAUAUAUGGCAUGCAUACAAAUAGAAAGAAACAGCACCUAGGAUAUCUCAAUUUGAUAACCUAGUGCAAGAACGAGAUUUCAAAUUUAAAAUUUCA
rnacentral:misc_RNA from 1 species